AACUCCACCAGCGAGACGCCAGGUAGAACGGUCCGGAGGAGCCCGGAGAAGGUGGGACGUGGGGAGACUAGCCAACAUGGCGCCACGGGAACCCUUCUCACGGGCCCUUGGGAGGUUUCGAGGGUGCCUCCCGCUGCCUAAGAGCGCCAGAGCUUGAUGGAUCCGACUCAGACCGCUUGCGAUCCCUCCGAGGCCCGAUCUCCUGACUUUGGGGAUCUGACUCUUCAGGACUGUAUUCCCCACUUCCAGCCAAGCCACUCUGAUCCCCAGGUAUGGAAGCCACUUCCUUCAGCUAACUCCUCUUCCUGACUCAGCUCAAAACUCACUUCCCACAGGCAUCUUCCUGGUACUUUAGGUCACCUAUGUAUCCACCUCUGCUUGUGCCUGCCAGGGUGCAUCAUGGCCGUGUCCUGCUCUGGUGCUGUCAACUAUGUGUUUGCCCCAGUUGACUUUUUCAGUUUUUCCAGUUUCUUGCUCAACCCACCCUGGCCAGCCUGACCCCACAGACUGGGGACAGCAAGUAGUCCCUGCUUCAUACAGUUCAGGACAGACAGUAAAGAAGUGACUGCAUCACA